rnacentral:rRNA from 1 species
UACGGAGGGGGGCUAGCGUUGUUCGGAAUUACUGGGCGUAAAGCGCACGUAGGCGGACUGUUAAGUCGGGGGGUGAAAUCCUGGGGCUCAACCUCAGAAUUGCCUCCGAUACUGGCAGUCUCGAGUGCGGGAGAAGGUGAGUGGAAUUCCCAGUGAUUAGAGGUGAAAUUCGUAAGAUAUUGGGAAGAACACCAGUGGGCGAAAGG